GUGGCAGAGCUGGGAUCAACCAAUUGACAAGUAUUUAUUAAGAGGCUGCCAUGUGCUAGGACUUGUACGAGGUGCAGGGGAAUAUAAAAUGAAACUGUGCCUGACUUUAAGGCAGGGAUAUUCUACCUAGAGUAGUGGAGGGGGAAGGAGAAGGAGAUACAAGAUGUUCACAGAUAAGUAAACAUAUGCAACCUAAGUGCAUAGUGAUGAGAAUGUAUACACACAACUGCAGGACUCGGGAAAGGUGUGGCCAAAAAGGGGGCACUUCAGCUGAGGGAGAGGGGAGUGGAGGGGCACUCUCAGCACUUUUCCUACUCUAUCCUGGAUCUAGAGUCCUGGGCCAAGCCUUCUUACCUCAUACCUGGACUACUUUUAAAAUGUCCUAUUUCUCCUUUUGAUUUCUCCAUUCAUCUACAGGGUGGCACAGUAUCAUGAAAAGAGUAUAAAAUCUGGCUUCACGGGACCUGGGUUCAAAUCCAGUUUCAGAUAUUACCUAAGCAACUUUGGGAGUAAUGGUCACACUUUCCUGGGAGCUAUGUUGACCCCACCUGUGUAUUCCAAUGGAAAGAUUACCAAAUUAGAGUCAGAAGAUCUGGGUUCUAGUCUCUGCUCUAUUACUUCCUAUUUGAGUGGUAACCGGUAGCACCUCAACCUUCUUGGGGCUGCCUGAACUCAUCACCAAUGGCUACAGAGGUCUAAGGGAAUUCUUUCACACCUGAACCACUCUCCAACUCCGAUCUCAACACCACCCACCUCUUAUUAGAGAAGAAAUAGCCUUAAAAUGUAGAAUGAGAUAUUUUUGUACAUGGCCAAUGUGGAAAUUUGUUUUGUUGGAUUUGUUGUGAGAAUUUCUUUCUUUUUUUUUUCAUUCUUUCACUGUUCAAUAAUGGCAGUAGGAAAGUGGGAUAUUAAAUAGUUGUAAAAAAUAAACAUUU